UAUAUUUACUAUAAAGAGUCAAGCCUGCCCAGUGAUUUUAUUUAACGGCCGCGGUACUCUGACCGUGCAAAGGUAGCAUAAUCAUUUGCCUUAUAAUUAAAGGCUAGCAUGAAUGGUUUAACAAGAAUGGUACUGUCUCAUAUAAAUUUUAUAGAAUUUGGUUUUUAGGUGAAGAAACCUAAAUAAUAUUGAAAGACAAGAAGACCCUAUCGAGCUUAAAAUAAUUUUCUUGAAACUUUGCUAUACUAGAUUCAAGUAAAAAUUUUGGUUGGGGCGACUAAGGAACACACAAAGCUUCCUAUAAAACUUAUAAACUUUUAUGUUUUGAUCCAAAAAUUUUGAUUAACAGAAUUAGUUACCGUAGGGAUAACAGCAUAAUCUUUUUUGAGAGCUCUCAUCGAAAAAAAGGUUUGUGACCUCGAUGUUGGACUAGGAUAUCCAGAAAGGUGCAGAAGCCUUCAAUGGUUGGUCUGUUCGACCA
rnacentral:rRNA from 1 species